rnacentral:SRP_RNA from 1 species
GCUGGGCAUGGUGGCACAUGCCUGUAAUCCCAGCUACUUGGGAGGCUGAGGCAGGAGAAUGGCUUGAACCCAGGAGGUGGAGGUUGCAGUGAGCUGAGAUCACGCCACUGCACUCCAGCCUGGGUGACAGAGUGAGAUUCUGUCUCAA